AGAAUAAGCACCGGCUAACUACGUGCCAGCAGCCGCGGUAAUACGUAGGGUGCAAGCGUUAAUCGGAAUUACUGGGCGUAAAGCGUGCGCAGGCGGUUUUGUAAGUCUGUCGUGAAAUCCCCGGGCUCAACCUGGGAAUUGCGAUGGAGACUGCAAGGCUAGAAUCUGGCAGAGGGGGGUAGAAUUCCACGUGUAGCAGUGAAAUGCGUAGAGAUGUGGAGGAACACCGAUGGCGAAGGCAGCCCCCUGGGUCAAGAUUGACGCUCAUGCACGAAAGCGUGGGGAGCAAACAGGAUUAGAUACCCUGGUAGUCCACGCCCUAAACGAUGUCUACUAGUUGUCGGGUUUUAAUUAACUUGGUAACGCAGCUAACGCGUGAAGUAGACCGCCUGGGGAGUACGGUCGCAAGAUUAAAACUCAAAGGAAUUGACGGGGACCCGCACAAGCGGUGGAUGAUGUGGAUUAAUUCGAUGCAACGCGAAAAACCUUACCUACCCUUGACAUGUACGGAAGCCACGAGAGA
rnacentral:rRNA from 1 species